GUGGCGAUAUGCACCUAGAAGCUGGUCUGCAACUCGCCACUAAACCCACAGAAGAAGAAGCAGCAGCAGCAGCAGCAGCUGUAGAGUAGAGUCCAGUCUUCUGAGGAGAGAAAUUCAGCUGAAAUAUUCCCAUCAGUUUAUCAAUGCAGACGAGCAUCAAAGCAUCAGGAAGAAAUCUGUAAAAACUGAGUUUAUUAAAGAGGACAGAGAGAAGAUGAGAGAUCCAGAACCCUGCAGAAUCAAACACACGGAAGAUACUGAAGAACUAACAGAGUUGAUUGAAGAAAAUGAGCAGAAUGAAGAAUUGAGUGAAGUUGAAGAGAAAAAUCACUUCAAAACUGGAGAAAAACCUUUGAGUUGCUGUCAAAGAAAACGGGUAAGAUUAAAGAAAACAAGAGCCAAGAAAUCUUUCACCUGCACUCAGUGUGGAAAGAGUUUGACAUCCAAACAUAGUCUUGAUGUUCACAUGAGAAUUCAUACAGAAGAGAAACCGUUUACUUGUGAUCAGUGUGGAAAGAGUUUCACACAAUCAGCAAACCUUAAGUAUCACAUGAACAUCCA